CCUACGGGAGGCAGCAGUGGGGAAUAUUGGACAAUGGGGGCAACCCUGAUCCAGCCAUGCCGCGUGAGUGAUGAAGGCCUUCGGGUUGUAAAGCUCUUUUGGCGGGGACGAUGAUGACGGUACCCGCAGAAUAAGCCCCGGCUAACUUCGUGCCAGCAGCCGCGGUAAGACGAAGGGGGCUAGCGUUGUUCGGAAUUACUGGGCGUAAAGCGCGUGUAGGCGGUUUGCCAAGUCGGGUGUGAAAGCCUUGGGCUUAACCCAAGAAAUGCACUCGGUACUGGCAGACUAGAGGACCGGAGAGGAUAGUGGAAUUCCCAGUGUAGUGGUGAAAUACGUAGAGAUUGGGAAGAACACCAGUGGCGAAGGCGGCUAUCUGGACGGUUUCUGACGCUAAGACGCGAAAGCGUGGGGAGCAAACAGGAUUAGAUACCCUGGUAGUCCACGCCGUAAACGAUGGGUGCUAGACGUUGGCGAGCUUGCUCGUCAGUGUCGCAGCUACGUACGUACGUACACCCGCCGUCGGGACGGUACGGCCGCGACGUACGUAACCGAAACGAACGUAGACGGCGUGAGACGNGCGACGACGACGACGAGGGAGUAGG
rnacentral:rRNA from 1 species